UUGAAACCCUUAAAUAUAACUGGUUUAGUUACUUACAUCGUGUUUUGCACUUUCACCACCGCUAACAAUCUGAAACAUCGCGCAGACGUGUGCUCGCUCUGUACUACUUUGCAGCUCGCGCUCCGGCUAACAACUCCACCUUCUUUGAUUUGAUUGGCUAUCGCAUCAUUUUGAUUUUGACAAGCACUUUAGACUGCUGAUUGAGGCAGACAGAUAGAGGCGUUGCACAGUAUUUAAAGUUAUAUAUUAGGCAAUUAUUUCAUGAUUGUUAUUACAUCUUGAAAUAAUUAAUAAUGGACACGAGCCUGCGAGAGAAAAUGGAUUUGGUCGUAAGAGCGUGAGAAAUGGGAUCAAUUGCGUGUGCCCUGCUAUGUAUUUUCUCAAGGCCUGCGACUGAGGGUCAUAUUUCAAUUCAAAGGUUUGGAAAUGCGUUACCCAGGAGUCAUGAAAGUUAUCUAGUACAGGAAAGUCAAGCACCUUAUCUUCUAAAAGAUGCUCUGGUGACCAGACUUACAGGGAUCUUGAGCUCUUACUUGCAGGUCAGACAGUUUUUGGAGGAGGGCACAGUGUUGGAUCCCAGAUUCAAGUGAAAAGUGUCCGAUGAAGUGUGGUACAGACUGGAGGAGGAGCUGAUAUAAAUGAACAGGCUCAGGGCCAGCAGAUGAAUCAGGGGCUCAAAGAGAGAGCAGAUGACCAAGAUGACAGCUUAUCUGAUGAAGACAUGUGUGCAUCUGCCAGUGAAACAGUGAAGAGGCCAAAGCUUUCUGCCCUCGAGGAGCUGUUUGCUGUAGAGGACAUGAAAAUAAAGUAAGAAAAGAGACCACCAGCACUACAGCGACGUUUAAGGAAGAGAUAAGGCACUAAAGAUUACUUCCAUCUUCUCAGUCCUCAGCGAGUCCAGUAACCCUGGUGGUGUGACAUGAAGGACACUGCCAAUGCUUUUUUGAUUUGGCUUCAGGGUAUCUCUGUGUAUUGUUUCAUAAAACAUCAUAAGGUGGAAACUGUUGGACAGUUAGGACAGGCUAUGAAUUCUGGGUUGGCAAAGAGAAAGGAGACAUAAGCCUGCCCCCAAUCCAAAUUUAAGCUUUGAUUUUAGAUCUGAAGUCUAGUAUUUGUUGCUGGCUGGAUUCAUGUUGUUAAUGUGCAGUUAAUGCAUAUACUAUAUAUGUGCAUUAACAUAUAUAUAUUAUGUGCAUAAAUGUAUACCACAUUGUUUGUAAAAUCUGAUUCAGUGCCCACUGAUUUAUUGGGGGAGUGUGAUAAAAAUGUCUGUCAAUUAAAAUUAUUUACAUAA